CGUUUCCGUGUGAAUGACACUUUGCCCAAUCUGGAAUGCGCGCUAUGCACCCAAUCUCGCUCGCACACCAGCCGCCGCACAACCCUAGCUCCCACAUUCCCCUCGAUCCACUGCCCCUCCCUCCUCCCCGCUCGUCACCAGGGCCUCGCCGCCGCCUACUCCUCCUCCCCCACCGUUGCUGCUUCCCCAUCUUGACUUCCCUCUCUCCGUUGUUUAUCCGGUCGUCGGCGGCGCCUGGUUCCAGAUCUGGCGCAAGUUAGGCCCGGUGGUGGGGCGAAGGGGCAGUGGAGGCAGGCGACCAAGACAAGCAGCUGUCGGCCCGUCGCGGGUGAGGCUCCAAGAGGGAAGAGGCGGGGACAGGAGGCUCGAGGGAAGAGGGAUGAGGCGGGGACAGGUGAAGGAGCAGGCUGGUCCUCGUGGAGGCGGCGCCGCCGGCCAGGGGCCAUUCGCCGUCGCCGGCCUCACUCGCCUCGUCUAUUCUCUCGUCACCAACUCGACAACGGAGGAUGGGACAAGCAUGCCGGUGGCCAGCCAGUGGAGCCCCACCACAGGUGGUGAGAUUUUUCUCUGCUGUCUUCUUACUCCGGGGCGUGCCCUGGAAGAACUCACCCACACCAGCCAAGGAGGAUCCAUGAUGUGUGUGAGGUAGAGGUGGAUCAUUGGAGGUGAAGCAGGUCUCCUUGAUUUGUGCUUCAUCUGAGUUUCACGGGGUACUUAAGCAAUGGUUGCACCCCGCCACAUCACAUACCAGAUGCUCAGAUUAUAAGAAAGAGAAUUUUAUAAGUCAGGCAUCGAUUGCUCACCUUUGAAGGUUACAGAUUCAAGUGCUAGGCUUUAAGAAUGAAGCAAAUCCCAAUCUAGAAACAUGUGUCGUGCACCAUAUAUUUGUCACCAGAAACGAAUGUGCUGGCGACAUCCAUUUGAUUAGUGUUAUAUCCAACUAAGGCUAGCUGACUGCAGUUUGAUUAUCGAUUCAUCUAUGGCAGCACAGACAGGUAAAAAUGUUUUUUUUCUUGUUUUACAGUUUUAGGUCAAAGUUCUCUUUUACCUUAACUUUUCAAUUGUACUCUGCUUUGUAGGUUCUCAUCAUACCGAUUUAGUGACUUACUACAGUUUGAUUGCCAAUUCGUAUUUUAUUCUUUUAUAUUAUGCAGCUUCCUCUGUGUACUGUUGGGAUAAAUUCCAUGAACUUUGUAUCUUGUUUAAAUGGCUAGGAUUUGAGAUUGUUUGAAUCCAUUAUGACACAAUGUUCUGACCAUCAACUAGGGUGCUCAAUGCGCAAUAGAUAGCUUUUGGUUGUCACCAUUAGGACAGAAAAGUACUAGAUUUUGAGGUUUUUAAUAGCUCAAAUAUGCCAACUGCAGAGCAACAUGGGAGUUACAAUGGUUCCAUGUCCUAAUUAGUUAUUUUAUUUCGUUUUGCAGGCGUAUUAUCUUGGAGGUUGCUUCUUAUUUUUACUAUAGAUCAAGUUUCUUUGUUUCCUUUCUAUCUACCUCUGCUGCAUUUGUUUUAUAUAUCCUAUAUGCUUUAAAUAUCCUAUGCGCUGUCAUGAUCCUUGCUUCAGUGAUCAUGUUGAUUUUCCAGAUUUGGUCGGGUGUUGUGUUUUUUUGACCCUUGUGCGCUUUGAUCGAUGUGCUCUGGCUCUGUGACUGUGAUGAUGCACAGGCAAUGGCAGCAUGGGUGGAACGAGAGGAAGGAUGGGAAUCAGCUACUUGCAUUCGCACGGAGGAGGCAAUGUCGACGCGAUGGCACAGCAGAGGAGGCUGGGCUCGUUGUGGAGCUUCUUGAGGCAGCAGGACGUCGGCGAGAGCAUCGCUGCCGGCGACGGCUCGAGUGACCUCUUGAGGAUCUUCUCCAUGAGCACCUGUGACGACACCAACUCCAACAUCAUCUUCUCAGUGCCUGGCAGCAAGAAGGCCGAGGUGCUCGGCAACAGCGAUGUCGGCAUGGUCACCAGCUUCAGCAACAUCGACUCCCGGACCUUGGUCCAGAUUCAGUUAGCCCUCUCGAGCUGGACAUGCCCAGCAUGGAUGACUACCAGCAGCUGCAGCAGGACUCCGCCGACUGCAGAGUCCACGCCAAGCGUGGCUGCACCACUGACCCGCAGAGCAUCGCUUGGGAGGAAAGAAGAACAAGGACCAAUAAGAGGCUAAGGAGGCUGCAAGACCUCAUUCCCUACAUGGACAAGGUCACAAGAACUGAAUAUACACGUAGGAGAAACUUGAGAGCCAAUAUUAGUGCUGAAGGAUUACUCUGAUUGCUGAUCUAUGUUGUCGCGGCAACACAGGCCAAUACACAUUCAGGAAAUAUGUGACCAGCUUCCCCAAGGUCCCGCAUCGUCUACUCAGUAAGCCAAGGUGGAGGUUGGGAAACAAAGAACUUGCCCAACUGUGGAAAUGGGCAGAACUAAACCCUGUAUGUUUUAGGUAGAACUUCCCGCUAUUGUCCUAUUUGAAGGAGCAACAAUGCAUUAAGCGCAAAAAAUACGUCAGUUGGGCCUUUUUUUGUCUUACUGUCCAAUUUUACUUCUAUAUACAAAUGUUAAAAGAGUCUGAGUGGGGACACUCUAUUUGGAAAGGGAUUUUGUACAGUUUUUCUGCAAGUUACUACCUCAUUAGUGGACUGGCCUGCAUAGUAUUCAUAAAAAUUAAUCAUCCAAUUCCCUGUAUGUGUCCUUGGUCACAUUUCUUGUCUGUUCAAUUUUUGGAAACCCACAUCUUAUUUGAAUUGAAACUGCUGAGUGCUUUGACUGAUCCUGACCGAGUCCACACACCAUCACUUACAGAAUACUGGAAGCCACUUGCAGAAGAUGUAAACCCUUUACCUUUUCUUUCAUAGUUACUCCCUCCGUCCCAAAAUAAGUGACACAACUUUGUACUAGCUUUAGUACAAAGUUAGUACAAAGUUGAAUCACUUAUUUUGGGACGGAGGGAGUACUUUGCACCAAUGGUUCUAAUACUAGGUUUUCAAGAUAAACUUGCAGAUGGACACAUCUGCCAGAGAGACGGCGGCCAUGAGAGCUGGAAGAUCACAAGAGAUUGACCUUUUUGGUGGUCUAAUACUUCCUAUAUGAGCACAUAGAAAAGCCACUACGAUAAGCCGACACCUAAUAAGGACCAGGAGAACAACAGAUAUGCUAAGAGACAACCUUUUGGGGUUAAGGAUAUAAACAACAACAGGGCUUAUGAGGCCGAAGAGAGCUGAGUGGCGUCUUUUGGUUCUUGAAGACCUGCACAUUCCUGGUGGAGUAGAGAAAAAUAAUUUGGAGGCAUGUUAUUGUUCUUCAUUGUAGUGGAUGAUAUCUAUCCCAAUUAUUGAGGUGAUGGAAGUACUACUGAGGAGUUUUGUCUUUGACUGAAUGAAGUUGUCAAGGAAGAAGGAAUAGGUGUCGAGGAAGAAGGGAUAAAUAAAUUGCUUGAUUCAUGGGCCGAACUAGCUGCCAUACGAUUGCUUGGAAAUAUACACGUGUCUAAGAGACACAUGAAUACUUUUUUUUCAAA